rnacentral:rRNA from 1 species
CGAAUGCUGACAUAAGUAACGAUAAAGCGGGUGAAAAGCCCGCUCGCCGGAAGACCAAGGGUUCCUGUCCAACGUUAAUCGGGGCAGGGUGAGUCGACCCCUAAGGCGAGGCCGAAAGGCGUAGUCGAUGGGAAACAGGUUAAUAUUCCUGUACUUGGUGUUACUGCGAAGGGGGGACGGAGAAGGCUAUGUUGGCCGGGCGACGGUUGUCCCGGUUUAAGCGUGUAGGCUGGUUUUCCAGGCAAAUCCGGAAAAUCAAGGCUGAGGCGUGAUGACGAGGCACUACGGUGCUGAAGCAACAAAUGCCCUGCUUCCAGGAAAAGCCUCUAAGCAUCAGGUAACAUCAAAUCGUACCCCAAACCGACACAGGUGGUCAGGUAGAGAAUACCAAGGCGCUUGAGAGAACUCGGGUGAAGGAACUAGGCAAAAUGGUGCCGUAACUUCGGGAGAAGGCACGCUGAUAUGUAGGUGAAGUCCCUCGCGGAUGGAGC